rnacentral:rRNA from 1 species
UACGUAGGGUGCGAGCGUUAAUCGGAAUUACUGGGCGUAAAGCGGGCGCAGACGGUUCGUUAAGCAAGAUGUGAAAUCCCCGGGCUCAACCUGGGAACUGCAUUUGAAACUGGCAAGCUAGAGUCUCGUAGAGGGGGGUAGAAUUCCAGGUGUAGCGGUGAAAUGCGCAGAUAUUAGGAGGAAUACCAGUGGCGAAGGCGACUUUCUGGCAAUCAUCAGACGCUGAGGUACGAAAGCGUGGGUAGCAAACAGG